ACGAACGCUGGCGGCGUGCUUAACACAUGCAAGUCGAACGGUGAAGCGCCUUCCUUUUUGGUGGGUGUGGAUGAGUGGCGCACGGGUGAGUAACACGUGAGUAACCUGCCCCCUUCUUCUGGAUAACCGCAUGAAAGUGUGGCUAAUACGGGAUAUUCUGGGUCUGUCGCAUGAUGGGUCUGGGAAAGAUAUUGUUUCGGUGGGGGAUGGGCUCGCGGCCUAUCAGCUUGUUGGUGGGGUGAUGGCCUACCAAGGCGGUGACGGGUAGCCGGCCUGAGAGGGUGGACGGUCACACUGGGACUGAGACACGGCCCAGACUCCUACGGGAGGCAGCAGUGGGGAAUAUUGCACAAUGGGCGCAAGCCUGAUGCAGCGACGCCGCGUGAGGGAUGGAGGCCUGCGGGUUGUGAACCUCCUUCGCCAGUGAAGCAGGCCUGCCUCGUUUGUGGGUGGGUUGACGGUAGCUGGAUAAGAAGCGCCGGCUAACUACGUG
rnacentral:rRNA from 1 species